CAAAGUCUCCAGCAGUUUGAGAAGUUUGAUUGCCUAUUUGACAGUUGAGUUGUAGUGUUUGAGCGAAAAUGAUUAAGCAAAGAGACCGAAGAUUUACCGUUACCACGAGGAACGGGAGCAUGAUUAUUAUUAUUUUUUUGUACCAUCGCAUUCAAAUCUGCAAUGCUAGCGUCUACGCGAAAAAGGGAAAUAUAGAACAGUAUUUCAAAACGGCACACAAAACGUAUGAUGUGGACUUUCUCGCUUAUAGUGAGUUACGGAAAAAAAAGUGAAAAAAUUACAAUCUCAGCUAGCAGCAGUCAGUUUUUAUGAGGCCCAAUACAAGAGGGGAAGCGUCAAUCAACGCAUAGUUAUACUGUAGCAAGUGUGAGCCACCUCCUGGCUAAACACAAAGUCAUUUAGGGAUCGAGAAGUAAUACAACAAAAAAGUUUGCUGAGGAGAUUUCAAAAGCAAACAUUUUUGGCGAGGUUCAGACAGCUGUUGCCUGAAAUCAAAGAGUUUCUCAAGUCAUGUAAACAUGGUGAUUAUGCCUAAUUAGAGGAUGACCAGUGGCUCCUGGAUUUAGCAUUCCUCACAGACUGGACUGAAAUGCUGAAAGAGAUGAAUGUCGAGAUGCAGGGACAAAAUAAAAAUGUCAUCACGUUUAAAACAAUUACAAGUGUCCUCAAGUAAGCUGCUCAGUGCCAAUGCUCAUAUUAAGUGACAGGGGAAAUGGAUUCUGUGGCACAGAGUCAGUGAUGAGGACACCCUUUAAAUUCCAAAAUGUGAUGACCAGGGUCUUGUCCAGGACUUUGUCCUGGUGUGUGGGAUGAUGGAGAUCCCUGGGGCUUCCAUGCGAACUCUUGUAUUGUCUCAGGAUUCAAGACCUCAAUAUCUGUAUCAGUACCUGCCACCCUGUAGCAGGGGAAGCCGUUCCCUGAAGAUUUCCAGGAGACAGGCACCUGCAAGCUUGCAGUGACAUCAGCUACAGACCGUACAGCCUCCAAUCAGCUCUCCUCUGAUGCAUUGUGAAGCCGGCGGUCUCUAAUGGUGAAUAACCCUGAUGGAAGGGUAAGGGAGAGAGAAUUGCCAACAGCCGUUUCACCCUACGACUCAUAACUGGCAGUCCACUGAAGCUCAGCAGGUGUGAUCCUGGGCAGUACCUGGAUGGGAGGCUUCUGGGAAAACUAAGGCUGCUGGAAGAGGUUUUAGAGGGACCAGCAGGGAGUGCACAACCUAUGGUCUGUGUGGGUCCUUCCUAAUGCCCCAGAAUUGUGACGGGGACACUAGAGUGUAAAAAG